rnacentral:rRNA from 1 species
CACGUAGGAGGCGAGCGUUGUCCGGAAUCAUUGGGCGUAAAGAGCGCGCAGGCGGCUUGGCAAGUCGGGUGUGAAAUCCCGGGGCUCAACCCCGGGACUGCAUUCGAUACUGUCAGGCUAGAGGUAGGUAGGGGAGAUCGGAAUUCCUGGUGUAGCGGUGAAAUGCGCGGAUAUCAGGAGGAACACCGGUGGCGAAGGCGGAUCUCUGGGCCUUACCUGACGCUCAGGCGCGAAAGCUAGGGGAGCGAACAGG